AUGUCUGAUGUCUUUAAUCUCCUAGUCCUGGGGACAUUUGAGCCUGGAGCAGUCAACCCUCCAUUCAAAACACUUAGGAAACCUGGAGAAUGUGGUAUGAAUGGUGACUUCCAUUUCUGUCUUACAGACCAUCCUGUUUUCUCCUUUGAGGUGCCAAGGGACCUCUCCACACCUCCUCUUGUGGCACUUCCUAACACAACAGAAAGCAUCAUGGUUCCCAGGGGAUAUUUCAGGAUCCACCCCUGCUCUUCUGGAAGAGCAGCCCACAGAGGCUCCAUGUCCACCACUCCCUACAUCCCCCCACUGCAUCUGUCCUGGGGCUGCAGAUGGAAUCUCUGGACACUGAAGCAGGCAUGGAUGCUCAAAGCAGGUAUAUACCCUGUCCCACCAAGCUGGAAGUGGGAGAGGACCAGCAGCUGGCAUGGCCAUCCUUUCUCCAAGCAAUUCAAUUCCUCUGGAGCUCACCAGCCUGCCUUCUCCUCACACAAGGCCAGAUGUACCAUCCAGGGAAGCAGCACAGUACAGCAGCAGAGCUGCCACUUCCAGACCUCACAGCGAUGCAGCAGACACACCAAAUCCCCAUGCAAAAAGUGCAACGCCAGCAUCAUCCCAGAGCCCAUAUGAGCAAAGAGCAGCACCUGGAACGGCACCACGGUGCUCCCAGUGCAGGAGGAUGAGACUUUCAGUGUCCCAGGUGAAGGAGGACCUGCCUCCCAAUGUCCCUGACACGAGGUGCAUUGUUCAUGAAAACACAUGGGGAAGUCCAAGGAGGACAGACUCGCUGGCUGCGUUGGGCUUCCUGCCUCCUGGCCUCGGCUGCCGCCUGACAUCAUCGCUCCCGGUGGGAAUGGCCACCCUGGCCCCACUCGGUCCCUGACAUUAGCCAACAAUUUCCUGACCUCCUGUCCGGCUUUUCAGCCUCCCACGGCCUCCCAUGGUGGGCAGGCUUUUGUGCCUGAGAUGAUAGAAAGAUGAUAGAUAGAUAGAUAGAUAGAUAGAUAGAUAGAUAGAUAGAUAGAUG
rnacentral:lncRNA from 1 species